AUUACUCCUACGGGAGGCAGCAGUGGGGAAUAUUGGACAAUGGGCGAAAGCCUGAUCCAGCCAUGCCGCGUGUGUGAAGAAGGUCUUCGGAUUGUAAAGCACUUUAAGUUGGGAGGAAGGGCAUUAACCUAAUACGUUAGUGUUUUGACGUUACCGACAGAAUAAGCACCGGCUAACUCUGUGCCAGCGCCGCGGUAAUAAU
rnacentral:rRNA from 1 species